GGUAACACGUGAGUAACCUGCCCUUGACUUUGGGAUAACUUCAGGGAACUGGGGCUAAUACCGGAUAGGAGCUCCUGCUGCAUGGUGGGGGUUGGAAAGUUUCGGCGGUUGGGGAUGGACUCGCGGCUUAUCAGCUUGUUGGUGGGGUAGUGGCUUACCAAGGCUUUGACGGGUAGCCGGCCUGAGAGGGUGACCGGCCACAUUGGGACUGAGAUACGGCCCAG
rnacentral:rRNA from 1 species